CCUACGGGAGGCUGCAGUGGGGAAUAUUGGACAAUGGGGGCAACCCUGAUCCAGCCAUGCCGCGUGUGUGAAGAAGGCCCUCGGGUUGUAAAGCACUUUCAGUGAGGAAGAACGCCUGGUGGUUAAUACCCAUCAGGAAAGACAUCACUCACAGAAGAAGCACCGGCUAACUCCGUGCCAGCAGCCGCGGUAAUACGGAGGGUGCGAGCGUUAAUCGGAAUUACUGGGCGUAAAGCGCGCGUAGGUGGCUUGAUAAGCCGGUUGUGAAAGCCCCGGGCUCAACCUGGGAACGGCAUCCGGAACUGUCAAGCUAGAGUGCAGGAGAGGAAGGUAGAAUUCCCGGUGGAGCGGUGAAAUGCGUAGAGAUCGGGAGGAAUACCAGUGGCGAAGGCGGCCUUCUGGACUGACACUGACACUGAGGUGCGAAAGCGUGGGUAGCAAACAGGAUUAGAUACCCUUGUAGUC
rnacentral:rRNA from 1 species